rnacentral:rRNA from 1 species
UACAGAGGGUGCAAGCGUUAAUCGGAAUUACUGGGCGUAAAGCGUGCGUAGACGGUUACAUAAGUCGGGUGUGAAAGCCCCGGGCUCAACCUGGGAAUUGCAUUCGAGACUGCGUAGCUAGGGUGCGGAAGAGGGAAGCGGAAUUUCCGGUGUAGCGGUGAAAUGCGUAGAUAUCGGAAGGAACACCAGUGGCGAAGGCGGGUCUCUGGACAGUUCCUGACACUGAGACACGAAGGCCAGGGGAGCAAACGGG